AGCGAACGUUAGCGGCGCGCCUAACACAUGCAAGUCGCACGAGAAACGGAGCAAUCCGCGGUACAGUGGCGCACGGGUGAGUAACACGUGGAUGACCUUCCCUGGAGUGGUGGAUAACCUGCCGAAAGGCGGGCUAAUACAGCAUGGGACCACGACGCUUUGGCGAUGUGGUGAAAGCGGGCCUCUAUAUAUAAGCUCGCGCUCCGGGACGGGUCCGCGUCCCAUCAGCUAGUUGGUGAGGUAACGGCUCACCAAGGCUUCGACGGGUAGCUGGUCUGAGAGGAUGGCCAGCCACACUGGAACUGAGACACGGUCCAGACUCCUACGGGAGGCAGCAGUGGGGAAUCUUGCGCAAUGGGCGAAAGCCUGACGCAGCGACGCCGCGUGGGCGAAGAAGGCCU
rnacentral:rRNA from 1 species